rnacentral:rRNA from 1 species
UACGGAGGGUGCAAGCGUUAUCCGGAUUCACUGGGGUUAAAGGGUGCGUAGGUGGGAAUGUAAGUCAGUGGUGAAAUCUCCGUGCUUAACAUGGAAACUGCCAUUGAUACUAUGUUUCUUGAAUUUUCUGGAGGUUAGCGGAAUAUGUCAUGUAGCGGUGAAAUGCUUAGAUAUGACAUAGAACACCAAUUGCGAAGGCAGCUGGCUACACGAAUAUUGACACUGAUGCACGAAAGCGUGGGGAUCAAACAGG